rnacentral:rRNA from 1 species
UACAGAGGUCUCAAGCGUUGUUCGGAUUCAUUGGGCGUAAAGGGUGUGUAGGUGGCGCGCUAAGUCGGGUGUGAAAUUUCGGAGCUUAACUCCGAAACUGCAUUCGAUACUGGCGUGCUUGAGGACUGGAGAGGAGACUGGAAUUUACGGUGUAGCAGUGAAAUGCGUAGAUAUCGUAAGGAAGACCAGUGGCGAAGGCGGGUCAUCUGGACAGUUCCUGACACUGAGACACGAAGGCCAGGGGAGCAAACGGG